rnacentral:rRNA from 1 species
UACGGAGGGUGCAAGCGUUAUCCGGAUUCACUGGGUUUAAAGAGAGCGUAGGUGGGCUGGUAAGUCAGUGGUGAAAUCUCCGGGCUUAACUCGGAAACUGCCGUUGAUACUAUCAGUCUUGAAUACCGUGGAGGUCAGCGGAAUAUGUCAUGUAGCGGUGAAAUGCUUAGAUAUGACAUAGAACACCAAUUGCGAAGGCAGCUGACUACGCGAAUAUUGACACUGAUGCACGAAAGCGUGGGGAUCAAACAGG